GGGGUCUGGAGGGAGAAGAGCUGGGUGAAUGACAAGGAUUUGCCUCCUGGUGAUCGGGGAUGUGGAAGGUGACCCUACCCCAGGAGGCCAGUCCCUGGGACGUGCUGUCUGCCUCUCAGGCCAUCCUGAGCCCCUUGACGUCCCAGCCCUGGAAGGGGCCUUCGGUGUCCGUGCACCCCCGUGGCCCCAAAAGACCACCUGUGCCUGGCUUCGUGCAGGGGCUGUGCUCCUCCCAGCAGGGGCCCGGCCAGGCUCCCGGGGCUGGGGGCAGCCGGCAUGUCUGCCCGAAACGCCGCCGGUGAUGUGUUGGUAAACGUUUAACCACUGGCUGUUGGAGGUGGGGAGACCCAAAUUUGUCGUGUUUGCCAGCUUUGGGGUGCAAAUACCCUGCACGGCUGCUGUCAGGCUAGCAGCGUGACGCCAGACUCCAGGAGAGGCGGGAAGGGUGGGCUCUGGGAGCCAGCACGAGCCAGCGUCAGUCUCCACCCUCCCUGGGCCCCGGGCACUGACUGGGAGCUUUGGCAGUUGCUGGGGGCAUCCAGCGGAGAGAGUUCAGCCAGAGCCCUCCAAAUGCUGGUGGGGAGGGGGCAGUGAGCAGCCACCCUUUUGGAGCAAGGGCUGAGCAAGGAGACCUUGUGCCACAGGUGCGAUCCUGGGUGAGGACAGGUGGGUCCAGCCCCCACCCUAGAAGCCUACGCUCCUGGUCUUGGUUUCCAGGGAGGGGAUGAGCCCGCGCAGGUGAGAGACAAUGCCAGCAGACAGAGAUCUAUCCCCUCUCCUGUCCAGGCUCAGUGCCUAGGACACACACCUACCCGGGGCCCAGCCAGUCCAGUCCGUGGAAGCCUCACGUGAGAAUCACACUCGCGCCAUCUGUGUGCACGGACAGGGUUAGGGGACGUGUCUCCCGCUGCAGGUGUGGGAGAAGACUGAGGAUGCUCGGGGUGAGUGAAGCUGGAGAGGGCAGUGCACUGGGCGGGCGCUGGUGAACAGGGUCCUUUCUGCUCUGAAGUCAGAGCUGGGGGGACAGGCCUCCCAGGAAGGCAAGACCGAGAACUUGCCAACCAAGAGACAGAGACCUGGCGGCCGUGGGGAUGGGCGGAGCAGCAGCGAGGACACAGCACCCGGGGCGGGAAGGCCACGUGCAGGUGCUGGCGCUGCCCUUCUGCUCGGCGGGCCUGGCAUGCGGCAUCUCGGUUUGCGCAGCUUCCCCUCUGCUGAAGGAGGAGGUAGCGGGGGUUGCCGUGCGGAUCAAAGAGCCGAGUCACCAUGCUUGGCGCACGGUCAGUGCUCCGGCACCAGGCAGCCCUCCUUUUUCAGAAGGCGCAGAGCGGGUGGGUGGGCAGCGGGCGCCCUCGGAAGGAUGGGACCAGAGCCAGCUGCCCAGCUCUUUCAUCUGAGGGGACCCUGCCUCAGGUGGGCUCCACGUCUGCUGGGACCUCGUUCUGGCGGGGAGGCCCUUCCACGUGGAGGGGUCACUGGCCUGACUCCCCCUGCCCCGCAGUGAUGUGACGUCUUCAGCCCCUGUCCCUGCGACCGACCCUGGUCUCAGCCGUGGGAAGCGCUGGGCCUCAGACCCCUUAUGGGGCCUUCAGUCUGAAACCUGCACUGAAAGAACCACAGCAACGCAGCCCAGGGCAGGGGCCACAGGGGACGGUGUUUGCGUCUGGCUCCCAGGCUGGCUUCUGUCGGGAGGGGCUGGACCAGCUGGGAACCUGCAGAAGCAGC